CUCAAGGGCAGUAGCAUUGUCAGCCGGUUAGCAUCCAUCCCCUUUCACCUUGGGGAAACUUCUGGGAAAACGAGUGUGGAACUUCUAUCAUUGUUCUAUUGUGUGCCAGGGAAGAAGAGAAAACUACAAGGUGCACUGGAGGACUGAAGAACUGAAGAGGUUGUAAAGGUUGACAUUUAUUGUCAUGAGUCUUGUCCUGGAAGCAGAACUGAGUGAUUUCCCCUUAGUCCCAGGUGAUGCAGCUAUACCAGGCAGUGCUCCAGAUGGGGCAGGACCUGAGCCCUAGGACCAUGCCUCAGGACUACCUGGCAUGAUGACUCCUUGUUGUCCCCAGUCCACCUGGCCGUGCUGCUGCUCCAGUUUCAACUGUUCUGCCUACGGCUAUGGAACCCUGACCUGUUCACUGUGAUUACUAUUAUUUGACCAUGCUGGUCAUUUGUGAACAUUUAAACAUCUUGGCCAUGUUCUGUUAUAAUCUCCACCCGG
rnacentral:lncRNA from 1 species